rnacentral:rRNA from 1 species
GGACUACCGGGGUUUCUAAUCCUAUUCGUGAUCUAUGCCUUCGUCCCUCGACGUCAGUUUUUACAUAAAAGGUUGCUUUCGCCUUAACCAGUCCCCUAGGUAUUAACGAAUUUGAUCUCUACACUCAUAGGUACUACCUUUUUAUAUUGAAACUCUAGAAAAUUUUAUCUUGAAAAGAGUCAAAUAUUUCCGUCUAGGUACCCUUUAAACCUAUUAAAGAUGAAUAACACUAGUCUUUAGCGUCUUACCGCGGCUGCUGGCAC